rnacentral:rRNA from 1 species
UACGUAGGGGGCAAGCGUUGUCCGGAAUCAUUGGGCGUAAAGAGCGUGUAGGCGGCCCGGUAAGUCCGCUGUGAAAGUCCAGGGCUCAACCCUGGGAUGCCGGUGGAUACUGUCGAGCUCGAGUCCGGAAGAGGCGAGUGGAAUCCUGGUGUAGCGGUGAAAUGCGCAGAUAUCAGGAGGAACACCAAUGGCGAAGGCAGCUCGCUGGGACGUGACUGACGCUGAGACGCGAAAGCGUGGGGAGCAAACAGG